rnacentral:misc_RNA from 1 species
UAAUAAACCAGAUUGAAGUGGAUCCCGAUUUAAGCAUCUGUUUUUAUGAUUUAUCUGUAUGCUUUCUUGCUUCACAGGUUUCAUCGGGAGAAACGAAAAGCGGGACUUUCG